rnacentral:rRNA from 1 species
GACGUAGGAUGCAAGCGUUGUCCGGAUUUAUUGGGCGUAAAGAGUUCGUAGGCGGUUCGUUAAGUCUGGUGUUAAAGAUCGGGGCUCAACCCCGGGAGUGCACUGGAUACUGGCGGACUCGAGUAUGGUAGAGGCAAGUGGAAUUCCCAGUGUAGCGGUGAAAUGCGUAGAUAUUGGGAAGAACACCGGUGGCGCAAGCGACUUGCUGGGCCAUUACUGACGCUGAGGAACGAAAGCUAGGGGAGCGAAUGGG